AACGAACGCUGGCGGCAGGCCUAACACAUGCAAGUCGAACGCUGUAGCAAUACAGAGUGGCAGACGGGUGAGUAACGCGUGGGAACCUUCCCAGAGGUACGGAAUAGCUCAGGGAAACUUGGGGUAAUACCGUAUGAUCCCGAAAGGGUAAAGAUUUAUCGCCAUUGGAUGGGCCCGCGUCGGAUUAGCUAGUUGGUAGGGUAACGGCCUACCAAGGCGACGAUCCGUAGCUGGUUUGAGAGAAUGACCAGCCACACUGGGACUGAGACACGGCCCAGACUCCUACGGGAGGCAGCAGUGGGGAAUCUUGGACAAUGGGCGCAAGCCUGAUCCAGCCAUGCCGCGUGAGUGACGAAGGCCUUAGGGUUGUAGAGCUCUUUUGCCGGGGACGAUAAUGACGGUACCCGGAGAAUAAGUCCCGGCUAACUUCGUGCCAGCCGCCGCAGUAACAC
rnacentral:rRNA from 1 species